rnacentral:rRNA from 1 species
GAUGAACGCUAGCUACAGGCUUAACACAUGCAAGUCGAGGGGAAACGGCAUUAAGUGCUUGCACUUUUUGGACGUCGACCGGCGCACGGGUGAGUAACGCGUAUCCAACCUUCCCAUGACUAAGGGAUAACCUGCCGAAAGGCAGACUAAUACCUUAUGGUCUUCACUGACGGCAUCAGAUGUGAAGUAAAGAUUUAUCGGUUAUGGAUGGGGGUGCGUCUGAUUAGCUUGUUGGCGGGGUAACGGCCCACCAAGGCAACGAUCAGUAGGGGUUCUGAGAGGAAGGUCCCCCACAUUGGAACUGAGACACGGUCCAAACUCCUACGGGAGGCAGCAGUGAGGAAUAUUGGUCAAUGGGCGAGAGCCUGAACCAGCCAAGUAGCGUGCAGGAUGACGGCCCUAUGGGUUGUAAACUGCUUUUGUAUGGGGAUAAAGUCAAUCACGUGUGAUUGUUUGCAGGUACCAUACGAAUAAGGACCGGCUAAUUCCGU